UGAGGAAUAUUGGUCAAUGGGCGCAAGCCUGAACCAGCCAUGCCGCGUGCAGGAUGACAGCUCUAGUAGUUGUAAACUGCUUUUAUACAGGAAUAAACUUCGCUACGUGUAGCGAACUGAAGGUACUGUAGGAAUAAGGAUCGGCUAACUCCGUGCCAGCAGCCGCGGUAAUACGGAGGAUCCAAGCGUUAUCCGGAUUUAUUAGGUUUAAAGGGUGUGUAGGCGGAAUUGUAAGUCAGCGGUGAAAUCCUGUAGCUUAACUACAGCACUGCCGUUGAUACUGUGAUUCUUGAGUAUAGUUGAGGUAGGCGGAAUGUGUAAUGUAGCGGUGAAAUGCAUAGAUAUUACACAGAACACCAAUUCCGAAGGGAGCUUACUAAACUAUAACUGACGCUGAGGCACGAAAGCGUGGGGAGCAAACAGG
rnacentral:rRNA from 1 species